rnacentral:lncRNA from 1 species
UAAUUCUUAAUUUUAAAUAUUUUUUUAAUAACAACCUACUAAAACAUGAUUGGAUUUAGAAAAGUUUUAAAAAAUCUAAAUGUGAGUGUAAGGAGAUAAAAUACCAAGUACCAUCUCUGGCCGAGUUAGGGCGGACACCACUGUUAUGUUGUUGCUAGAUAGCACGUUCAGCGAGGGUCUCUGCGCCGGAGCUCAGUUAAGACGUAACACCAGCUCUGGUCGAGCUAAGGCAAGCAUCACUGCAGGUCUGUCACUCUAUAGCAAGCUCGAUAGGAUCUCUGCGCCGGAGUUUGGUCGAGACACAGGUUGACGACGAUUCCGAGGUAUAUCAAGAGACAAAAGGUGACUUGUACAAUAAUAUUUUCUCUGACAACUCCCACGUUUGGAUUGAGAUAUCGACAAUAUCAGGACUAGCUACUAACCAAGCCUUAAGUGUGUGACUGGUUCAACUGCCUAAUCAUUGACACGACAAUUAGCGCGUCAAGACAAGCGUCAAGCUCCAGUCUGUCUAAUGACAUGAUAGUUGGCGCUCUCGGCAUACACCGAACUAUUAUAUAAGGUCAGACCUUAUUCACUUGAAGGCAUGCAAUUUUAGCUAACUCUAGCCAUAAACUCUUUCUCUCUCUCUCUCUCUCUCCAUACUCCUUGUAUCCACUGAUCAUCUAACUUUGCCGUCAAAGAACCGUUUCCUGAAAACUGCACCGACGGCCAAACUCACUGUUCCUGUGUUACAAUUUGGACACAACAGCCAACAGUUUUCUCAAACUACCGCUUUGCCACCGCAGAUAUCUAUCUUCG